rnacentral:rRNA from 1 species
UACGGGGGGGGUAAGCGUUGUUCGGAAUUACUGGGCGUAAAGGGCUCGUAGGCGGCCAACUAAGUCAUACGUGAAAUCCCUCAGCUUAACUGGGGAACUGCGUGUGAUACUGGAUGGCUUGGAUUUGGGAGAGGGAUGCGGAAUUCCAGGUGUAGCGGUGAAAUGCGUAGAUAUCGGGAGGAACACCAAUGGCGAAGGCAGCUCGCUGGGACGUUACUGACGCUGAGACGCGAAAGCGUGGGGAGCAAACAGG